CCAUAUCCAUACCAUAUAGUAAUAUCUUUCCGAUCCAAUCCAAUCCCAACCCUAGCAAACCAAACCAAACCAAACCAAAGCCAAGGAGAAAUCGGUUGCUCGAACCCUAUCCUCUCCUCUCCUCCCCGCAGCCGCCCAAAACCCUAGCGCCGGAUCUUUCUCCCCCCCUACCGACCGUCAAUCCAUCCAUGAUGGGAGAGGCCAAGGAGAACGACGUGUACGAGGAGGAGCUGCUCGACUACGAGGAGGACGACGACAAGGCCCUCGACGCCUCCUCCAACGCCAACGCCAAGCCCGCCGCCGACGCCUCCCAGCCCAAGAAGGGCUACGUCGGCAUCCACAGCUCCGGAUUCCGCGACUUCCUCCUCAAGCCCGAGCUGCUCCGGGCCAUCCAGGACUGCGGAUUCGAGCACCCCUCCGAAGUGCAACAUGAGUGCAUCCCUCAAGCAAUCCUCGGAAUGGAUGUCAUCUGCCAAGCAAAAUCUGGGAUGGGGAAGACUGCUGUCUUUGUCCUGUCGUCUCUCCAGCAGAUCGAUCCUACUGCUGGUCAGGUGGCAGCGCUCGUAUUGUGCCACACCAGAGAGCUGGCUUACCAGAUUUGCAACGAGUUCGAGAGGUUCAGCAAAUUUCUGCCUGAAUUAAAGGUUGCUGUAUUCUAUGGAGGUGUUCACAUCAAGAAACAUCAGGAUUUGCUCAAGAACGACUGCCCCCACAUUGUUGUGGGCACACCUGGGAGGAUUCUAGCUCUAGCUAGAGACAAGGACCUCUCUUUGAAGAAUGUGAGGCAUUUCAUUCUUGACGAGUGUGACAAGAUGCUUGAGUCACUGGACAUGCGGAGGGAUGUCCAGGAGAUUUUCAAGAUGACACCUCAUGAUAAGCAGGUCAUGAUGUUUUCGGCAACUCUCAGCAAGGAGAUCCGUCCCAUUUGCAAGAAAUUUAUGCAAGAUCCUAUGGAAAUUUAUGUUGAUGAUGAGGCAAAGUUGACCCUUCACGGUCUUGUUCAGCACUACAUAAAAUUGACUGAGUCAGAGAAGAACCGAAAAUUGAACGAUCUCUUGGAUGCUCUCGAUUUCAACCAAGUUGUGAUAUUUGUGAAGAGCGUUAGCAGGGCUGCAGAGCUGAACAAGUUGCUUUGUGAAUGCAACUUCCCUUCAAUCUGCAUCCAUUCUGGCAUGACCCAGGAAGAGAGGCUGACCCGAUACAAGAACUUCAAGGAAGGGCACAAGAGGAUUCUUGUGGCGACGGAUUUGGUUGGCAGAGGGAUCGACAUUGAGCGUGUCAACAUUGUGAUAAACUAUGACAUGCCUGAUUCAGCUGAUACCUACUUGCACAGGGUUGGAAGGGCUGGGCGUUUUGGCACCAAGGGACUCGCCAUAACUUUUGUUUCGUCGGCCUCGGACUCGGACGUCCUUAACCAGGUUGGUCCAUCUCUGUUUUUGGAUUGCAUGAUUUUGAUCAAGUGGAGUGACAAGGAAGAUUGUUUUAUGAAUGAAUGAAGGUGCAAGAACGGUUUGAGGUGGACAUCAAGGAGCUGCCUGAGCAGAUUGACACUUCAACAUACAUGCCGUCGUAGACCCGCGCCGACAUUGCAAGGAGGACGGAAGGAGAAGAUGGAAUCCUUGAAUGUUUUGCUUGAAGUGAUGCUGUUUUUUGCCUGCCCUGCCCUGCCCUGCUGCCAAGGGAGGGAGGCAGCAGGAGCAGCAGCUGUACCCUAUUUAGUCUGUUAUUUAGUCUGAGAGAUGUUGGUUUGUUACUUAGGCCAAAUGAUGAAAUGAUUUUACUUGUGCUAGAAUUGGAUGGAUGGAUGAAUGUAUGAUGCAUGGUUUGCUUUGAAAUUUUAAAAAUUAUGAUUAUUACCGUAGUUUUCAAACCAUCAUUAUAUCGUCAUAUUAUUAUUUAUCAUAUACAAUGGUACAAUGUUCCCAGAUUAUAUUUUUGUUUCUUGUUUUC